rnacentral:lncRNA from 1 species
GUCAUUUUGAAGAGGGGCUGUACAACAUUGCGUAUCACCACUCUCAAGCAUUACAACGAAAGCCGAAGACCAGCCCAGAGAGAAUUAAAAAACAACAACUGAGAAUUAAAAAAAUAACUGUGGCAUGUGUUUUAUUUCUCUUGGCUGCUGUGCCUCACAAGUGCCCUGAGGUCAUGAAGUUGCAAGAAUUUCAACAAAACUGCAGGAAUUCGCUGCAAGAUGUCUCCCAGUUCAGUGCCAACACGUAGGCUUCGGGCAGCCUGGCUCUGAAACCACAUCAUAUGUGACCACAGAGAUUUGUUGCAUUUCCUACCUUUGGGCAAAUGUCAUGCAACAGAAACCACAGACACUGAGUGUGUUUGCAGCGUCCACGAGGGCUCUUUCUCCUCUCUCAUUAGGGUGCAAACCAUACGCAAUGAAGCACUGUACCAGAAACGUGCUAAUUGUUAGCAGACGCCUCCAGUUUCAGAAACUCUGUGGAGAGGGCAAGGGGAACCACAGGAGCCAGACAGGACCUGACUUUGCUUUUCCCUGUCCAGUGACAUUAAAGCACCAGACAGGCAAAUCCUCUCUCUAGCUGUAAGUUGGAUGCAAUCAACUUGGGCACCAGGGAGACAAGGAGGAGGCAAAGGCAUAUUGCUUUAAAGUCACUUUUCAGGACGCACUUUUUCAUGGGAAAAAUACUGAAGCAGCAUGAGUCACGCGUUGGUGUAACACAUCCCCAAGCCAAAAAAGCAGCGCCUGGGAAGCGGCACGGCCGAGCCGGGGCACAGACUUUUGCUUGAAUCGGCUCCAGCUGGGGCAGGAGAGCAGCAGAAAGCCGCGCUGCGAUGAUGGAUGGGAGGCCAGUGUGAAGCGAGUUGGACAGCUCCUCGCCCGGGUGCCCUUCCCGGCUGCUGCACAAGCGGUGCCCGCGCGGCCCAGGGAAGCGGCCGUUCGCCUCGGCCCCAGGCCUCGGGCCUCGGUACCGGCGGGGCCCGGCCCGGCCCGGAGACGGCCCGAGCCAGGGAAGGCCCGAGCCAGGCCCUGCCGCAGCCGGGGAGCUCGGGUGCCCCCCCGAGGCCAGCCGGCACCGGGCUCCCCCCGCAGCGAGCCCCGAGCACGGUCCGCACCGAGGGCAGCGGCCCGCGGGCCCCGCCCGGUGGUUCCGCCCAUGGCGGCGCCCUUCCCGCCUCUCCCGCCCCGCGCCGAGCGGAGGUCUCGCGAGAUCCGCCCCGGGUCAUGCGCCUGCGCAGUGCCGCGGCCCAGGGGAAAGGGGCGGAGCCUCUUCACCGCCGCCUCACGGUUCCGCCGCCAUCUUGUUUCUCGGCCGCUGGGCGCUCGCUCCGCUCUGGUCGCCCCCUCCCCCUCCUUCCCGCCUCCCUUCAGCCGGGCCGGAGGCAGCGCGGGCGCCGGGCGGAGGAGGCGGAGGUCGCGGCGCUGGCUGCCCCGGUUGCUGCACAGCCCCACAAAUGUUCUCGCUGGAUCAGCGGUAGAAGGAGCUCUGAGCAGCAGUGCCACCAAACGUUGAACUGUGACUCAUAUCUGACCAGUGCUUCCUUCUUUGAAGAUGCCAACUUACACUGGCCCCGUUUGUGUGGCUGCUUUUGAGCCCGAUGUGCUCAGUGAGCCUGUUCACUACGGGUGUCUCCACGAAGGAUUCCACAGAAGUUUUGUCAGAUGGUGCCCUCCACCCUAAACCCAGCAAACAGGAGUGUUUGUAGGUUUUUUCAUACAAAGAAGCAGGGGGAGAGGGAAGAGGUGUCUCGUGGGUUUCGUCUGUGAUGUCUGGCCAGGGAUUUCUGCAAUAUUACUUCCAUUCUGGUAUUUUAGAUUGCUACCUCUCCUAGUGUCAAAUACUGCUGCAUGUGCUGUGCGAGCAGCAGCGCAGACAGCUCUUCACAAACAUUGUAGUGAUUAAAAACAUGGAGAUGUCCUGGUGAGCACUUACAGGCAAAGUUAGAUCAAAUGAAAACAAACCACGUAGCCUUGCAGGUGACUACUGUAUUGCUGGAGCCAAACUCGCGUGUUGCUGACAGAGACAGUGGGUAGUUGUGCCAAGAGCAUCCAGCUCUGCUUGGGAAGGAGCCCCAGGAGGUGUCUUCCUCCCUCUGCAUCAGUGCUGCAAUGGCGGGCUGUUUGAGGGCUGUGCACGCACCAUGCGUGUGUGUGCACAUGCACGUUGUGCAAGUGCGUGCACCUUAUGUAUGUGCAUAUGCAUGAUGUGCAAGUGCACGCACCUGGUACGUGUGCACAUGCAGGUCGUGCAAGUGCAUGCACCUUGCACGUGUGUGUGCCCGUGCAAGUGCGUGCACCUUACGUGCGUGCACAUGCACGUCGAGUAAGCGCAGGCACCUGGCGCGUGCCCACGCGCAGCGUGUGUCCGCGUGCGUCCCCGCACGUGCCGCGCCGCCGACGCCC